rnacentral:rRNA from 1 species
CCUACGGGGGGCAGCAGUGAGGAAUAUUGGUCAAUGGACGAGAGUCUGAACCAGCCAAGUAGCGUGAAGGAUGACUGCCCUAUGGGUUGUAAACUUCUUAUAUAUGGGAAUAAAAUGUUCCACGUGUGGGAUUUUGUAUGUACCAUAUGAAUAAGUAUCGGCUAACUACGUGCCAGCAGCCGCGGUAAUACGGAGGAUCCGAGCGUUAUCCGGAUUUAUUGGGUUUAAAGGGAGCGUAGGUGGAUUGUUAAGUCAGUAGUGAAAGUUUGCGGCUCAACCGUAAAAUUGCAGUUGAAACUGGCAGUCUUGAGUACAGUAGAGGUGGGCGGAAUUCGUGGUGUAGCGGUGAAAUGCUUAGAUAUCACGAAGAACUCCGAUUGCGAAGGCAGUUCACUGGACUGCAACUGACACUGAGGCUCGAAAGUGUGGGUAUCAAACAGGAUUAGAUACCCUUGUAGUC